GACGAACGCUGGCGGCGUGCCUAAUACAUGCAAGUUGAGCGCUGAAGGUUGGUACUUGUACCAACUGGAUGAGCAGCGAACGGGUGAGUAACGCGUGGGGAAUCUGCCUUUGAGCGGGGGACAACAUUUGGAAACGAAUGCUAAUACCGCAUAAAAACUUUAAACACAAGUUUUAAGUUUGAAAGAUGCAGUUGCAUCACUCAAAGAUGAUCCCGCGUUGUAUUAGCUAGUUGGUGAGGUAAAGGCUCACCAAGGCGAUGAUACGUAGCCGACCUGAGAGGGUGAUCGGCCACAUUGGGACUGAGACACGGCCCAAACUCCUACGGGAGGCAGCAGUAGGGAAUCUUCGGCAAUGGACGAAAGUCUGACCGAGCAACGCCGCGUGAGUGAAGAAGGUUGUCGGAUCGUAAAACUCUGUUGGUAGAGAAGAACGUUGGUGAGAGUGGAAAGCUCAUCAAGUGACGGUAACUACCCAGAAAGGGACGGCUAACUACGUG
rnacentral:rRNA from 1 species